rfam:Brachypodium distachyon strain Bd21 chromosome 1, whole genome shotgun sequence.
AACCUACUCCCUCCGUCCCAUAUUAAGUGCCGCAACUUUGUCUAGAUACAAAUGUAUAUAGACGCGUUUAGUGUGUAGGUACAUGCGUAUCUAGACAAAGUUGCGACACUUAAUAUGGAACGGAGGGAGUAGAAU